rnacentral:rRNA from 1 species
UUGAACGCUGGCGGCAUGCCUUACACAUGCAGGUCGAACGGUAGAGGGGCAACCCUUGAGAGUGGCGAACGGGUGAGUAAUAUAUCGGAACGUGCCCAGUCGUGGGGGAUAACGCAGCGAAAGCUGCGCUAAUACCGCAUACGAUCUAUGGAUGAAAGCGGGGGAUCGCAAAGACCUCGCGCGAUUGGAGCGGCCGAUAUCAGAUUAGGUAGUUGGUGGGGUAAAAGCCCACCAAGCCGACGAUCUGUAGCUG